rnacentral:rRNA from 1 species
AUUGAACGCUGGCGGCAUGCUUUACACAUGCAAGUCGAACGGUAACAGGCCGCAAGGUGCUGACGAGUGGCGAACGGGUGAGUAAUGCAUCGGAACGUGCCCAGUCGUGGGGGAUAACGCAGCGAAAGCUGUGCUAAUACCGCAUACGAUCUAUGGAUGAAAGCGGGGGACCGUAAGGCCUCGCGCGAUUGGAGCGGCCGAUGUCAGAUUAGGUAGUUGGUGGGGUAAAGGCUCACCAAGCCAACGAUCUGUAGCUGGUCUGAGAGGACGACCAGGCACACUGGGACUGGGACACGGCCCAGCAUCCUACGGGAGGCAGCAGUGGGGAAUUUUGGACAAUGGGCGCAAGCCUGAUCCAGCAAUGCCGCGUGCAGGAAGAAGGCCUUCGGGUUGUAAACUGCUUUUGUACGGAACGAAAAGGUUUGGGUUAAUACCCUGGGCCGAUGACGGUACCGUAAGAAUAAGCACCGGCUAACUACGUGCCAGCCGCCGCGGUAAGAC